CUUCUUUGUAAUGGCUGGAAUGCAGACAUGAUGGUUGGAGCUCAAGCAGCCAUCCUGAACCAUGAGUUGGGAGCCCUGUAUUAAGGGUAAUGAAACAAGCAGGUAGAAAGAGCUUGGGUCUUUGAUGGUCAUGGGUCUUCCACGCCUGCCCGGAAUUUGCCUCUAGAUUUUUGUCACUUGAGGAAAACCAAAUGCGCCAACCGUGUGCUGGAGCCGGGAUGCAGCAAUGAACAGAGUCACGGAGCUUGCUUCCUGCCGGGAUGAGACGGACUAUAACAGCAGGACAAAGUGGGCGUUCCUGCCCUGCGGGUGGCUCUCUUCCAUCCAGACUCGAGGAUCCAGCCUCCUUCCGCCCGUGGCUCUGCCAUCCAUCCCGUCAGCAUCUGCAUCCUGAUCGAGGAGGAGAGACUGGAGAAGACGCAUCUGCCUCUUAACAGCCGUGGCCCAGCAAUGGCACAUCCAACUUCCACUCACGUUCCACCAGGUGGAUCUCAUGGCCCACCCACACCGGCAAGGAGGCGGUGGGCUGGAAGACAUGGUGUCUUUCCAAUGACAAGUCUACACCACGGAAGGGGAGCGUGAGUUCUAGAGACAACCAGCCAUCUCCACCACACCCAGCUAGCGUCACCUCAUCCUUCAGGUGUCAAGUUCGAUGUGGCUUCCUCAGGAAUCCUACCCUGCAUCUCCAGGUCCGGGAUUCGGUGUCCCUCCUAUGCGCUUCCAGCACCCCUGCCUUCCCUGUACCACAUUGCACUGCCUGCUUGUUCGUCUCUGGAAAUGGGCCAUAAGCACCUUGAGGUCAAAUGACAUGUUUACCUGUGCACCUCCAGGGGCCAGCCUGGUGCCUGGCACAUAAUGGGCACAAUAAAUUAUUGGGUGGAUG
rnacentral:lncRNA from 1 species